UUAAAUUGAAGAGUUUGAUCAUGGCUCAGAUUGAACGCUGGCGGCAGGCCUAACACAUGCAAGUCGAACGGUAACAGGAAUCAGCUUGCUGCUUUGCUGAC
rnacentral:rRNA from 1 species